CUCCGUCUCAAAAAAAAAAAAAGACUGGGUGUUCAUAUACAUGUGAGAUGUGCCUCCCUCAAACCUUGUUAAGACAUGGGCACAUACCCACGGGGAAA
ensembl:snoRNA